UACGGAGGAUGCGAGCGUUAUCCGGAUUUAUUGGGUUUAAAGGGUGCGCAGGCGGAAUGUCAAGUCAGCGGUAAAAUUUCGGGGCUCAACCCCGUCGUGCCGUUGAAACUGGCGUUCUUGAGUGAGCGAGAAGUAUGCGGAAUUCCUAGUGUAGCGGUGAAAUGCGUAGAUAUUAGGAGGAACACCAGUGGCGAAGGCGGCCUGCUGGGCUUUUACUGACGCUGAGGCUCGAAAGUGUGGGGAGCAAACAGG
rnacentral:rRNA from 1 species